rnacentral:sRNA from 1 species
UCAUUUUCCGGUUAGCCUUCGGGGUGUCCGCGUGAGAACUGGUUAUAUCCUGGAGCGAGUGCUGGGAGGUGCUAGUCCGCCGCGCCUUAUUCGAGAGGCGUCAGAGCUGGGAGACUAGGAUGUCGGACACGUGGAGCUCUAUCCAGGCCCACAAGAAGCAGCUGGACUCUCUGCGGGAGAGGCUGCAGCGGAGGCGGAAGCAGGACUCGGGGCACUUGGCAGCACAGACCUUCGCCCUUCUCCUCGGUUCUUCCAGCUCACUUUUACCGGACCGACGCUUGAGCCCCACCCUCGUCCGCCUUGCCCACUCCUCUUCAGCCUGCGAGGACGUCGCCUUUGUGAGGCUGCUCAGCCCCCUAUCCCGCGAAGCAGCAAGAACCCCUUUUUGUUGCUGCUUUGGCGCUUUGUUCCCUCAGUUAUAACGACUGUUUUGUAGUGGUCAUUUCUUGGCAGCUGUCGGUACAGUAAGCGAGGAAUGAACCUUUAUAUCCACAGUGCCCAAUUUAGUGGCCCGU